rnacentral:rRNA from 1 species
UAACCUGCCCAAGAGAUCGGGAUAACACCUGGAAACAGAUGCUAAUACCGGAUAACAACAGAUGAUGCCUAUCAACUGCUUAAAAGAUGGUUCUGCUAUCACUCUUGGAUGGACCUGCGGUGCAUUAGCUAGUUGGUAGGGUAACGGCCUACCAAGGCGAUAAUGCAUAGCCGAGUUGAGAGACUGAUCGGCCACAUUGGGACUGAGACACGGCCCAAACUCCUACGGGAGGCAGCAGUU